AAAAAAGAGCCAUAAUCAGGUGCACAGUGAAUUGUGCUCUCUCUAAGGACACACUGGUAUCGAUUCUCCAUGUGUGAGGCUGAGCCUGAGCUCCAGGGGCGCUGUGAGAAGCAGCUCUUUGUGUCUUUUCGCUGAUGGAGAAGGAGGAACGACAGACAUUCUGGCAUCCGUUUCUAGCCUCUCUCUGGCUGAGGCUCCCUGCGUUCUGGAGAAGAGGUGUUCAGAGGCCCACAGAAAUCACCAAGUCGCACCUACUUGUUGGAACAAGUCAAAUAAUAAGAGGUUGGAAAAGAAGAAAAUAAGCUCUUGAGAGCAACAAUCCUGUGGCUGACUUCUCAGGAAAAGUCCUACAUGAAGACCCCAGGAAUGAGAGAGAUGAAGGAGCCCCUCUCCUCAGCAUCGACGUCACCAAAGGAAGAGAGCUUCAGCCUGCCUACAUAAGUAUGUUGUGAAUUUGUAUGUUAAACCUGAAGACAAAGCCGAGCUUCUGGAACACUAGCUUGCAUGCUCCCAGAAACAUCUGCUCCAAGCAUCCUUCGGAUCUAUUUCACUGUUCUCUACUCUACAGUUAGAGCAUUAUUUAACUAAAUGCAUGAGUUGAUUUUUGUGGCACUGGAGACUGACCCUAGGGCCUUGAGCACGCUAAGCAAGUAAGUGCUCAGCCACUGAACUGUGUCCCAGGCCCUUUAUUUAUUUAUUAUUUUAUAAAACUGUAAACAAGA